rnacentral:rRNA from 1 species
GACAGAGGGUGCGAACGUUGUUCGGAAUUACUGGGCGUAAAGCGCGUGUAGGCGGUCUUGCAAGUCGGGCGUGAAAUCCCUGGGCUCAACCGAGGAAGUGCGCUCGAAACUGCAAGACUGGAGUUCCGGAGAGGAUGGUGGAAUUCUCGGUGUAGAGGUGAAAUUCGUAGAUAUCGAGAGGAACACCGGUGGCGAAGGCGGCCAUCUGGACGGAAACUGACGCUGAGACGCGAAAGCGUGGGUAG